GGUGAACGCUGGCGGCGUGCCUAAGACAUGCAAGUCGAGCGGGGCAGGUUUAUACCUGUUCAGCGGCGGACGGGUGAGUACCGCGUGGGUGACCUACCCGGCAGAGGCGGACACCCUGGGGAAACCCAGGCUAAUCCGCCAUGUGGUCCUGUCCUGUGGGGCAGGACUAAAGGGUGGAUAGCCCGCUUCCGGAUGGGCCCGCGUCCCAUCAGCUCGUUGGUGGGGUAAAGGCCCACCAAGGCGACGACGGGUAGCCGGUCUGAGAGGAUGGCCGGCCACAGGGGCACUGAGACACGGGCCCCACCCCUACGGGAGGCAGCAGUUAGGAAGCUUCCGCAAUGGACGGAAGUCUGACGGAGCGACGCCGCGUGGAGGAGGAAGCCCUGCGGGGUGUAAACUCCUGAACUGGGGACGAAAGCACUGUGUAGGGGGAGGACGGGACCCAGGUAAUAGCGCCGGCCAACUCCGUG
rnacentral:rRNA from 1 species